rnacentral:rRNA from 1 species
AUUGAACGCUGGCGGCAGGCCUAACACAUGCAAGUCGAACGGUAACAGGAAGCAGCUUGCUGCUUCGCUGACGAGUGGCGGACGGGUGAGUAAUGUCUGGGAAACUGCCUGAUGGAGGGGGAUAACUACUGGAAACGGUAGCUAAUACCGCAUAAUGUCGCAAGACCAAAGAGGGGGACCUCCGGGCCUCUUGCCAUCGGAUGUGCCCAGAUGGGAUUAGCUAGUAGGUGGGGUAACGGCUCACCUAGGCGACGAUCCCUAGCUGGUCUGAGAGGCUGACCAGCCACACUGGAACUGAGACACGGUCCAGACUCCUACGGGAGGCAGCAGUGGGGAAUAUUGCACAAUGGGCGCAAGCCUGAUGCAGCCAUGCCGCGUGUAUGAAGAAGGCCUUCGGGUUGUAAAGUACUUUCAGCGGGGAGGAAGGCGGUGGAGUUAAUAACUUCACCGAUUGACGUUACCCGCAGAAGAAGCACCGGCUAACUCCGUGCCAGCCGCCGCAGUAA